UUGAAUCCGCCAUUUUUUCAUAUGAGAAGAGACAAAGAGAAUUCUCCAGCAGCUGCUUCUUCAAUCAGCCAUUUUCUUUCAUUUGAAAAUAGAUCAGCCGAAGUUCUCAAGACCAAAAAAAGCUGACCUAAAAGGAAUGGAAAAGCUGGCAGCGCUGUUCUUCAUGAGAAUUAAAAGCGCCGAAUACACAAAAACCCGACCCCCCUUGGCUUCGUCCUCUCCACGUCGACUGAAGCAGCGCCAUUGACGACCAAAAAACAACAUCACUUCUUCACCUCCAUUAAUCUACAUCCCGUCAGUGAAAGCAAGGUUCGGCGAAGUUGUCAUGUUCCGUUCGAGGCUUUCGAUUGUUGGUCCAGUCAGCAGUAGCUCAGUCCAUUUUUGUGAAGGGACCGAUUUUGCAGGCGAGCAGGCUACGGGUUAGGACUUUCCUCACUUCCAAUGCUAUUGGUGAGCUCCGCUUUUGUUCGUGGAGUACUCCUUUGAGUCGUCAUUACUUAGUUAUUUCUUUGUUUACUUGGAGAACUGGCCAGGACAUCUCAUGUCCUGAGCAGUGUGUCAGUUUAUCAAUAGAGGCUUCAUAGACACAGUCGGUGGGUAAAGAUUCAUGUGUUUUUUUAUAAUAACUUUGUAGUAUUUCAAUAGUUACUACGAAUAAAGUUUAGGAGUUGGUCUAUUUUGGACAUUCAAAUUAAUUAAAAGUAUUUGGUUAAA